rnacentral:misc_RNA from 1 species
AAGUCGUAACAAGGUUUCCGUAGGUGAACCUGCGGAAGGAUCAUUAUCGUAGGGCUUCGGCCCUCUCGAGAUAGAACCCUUGCCUUUUUGAGUACCUUUCGUUUCCUCGGCGGGCUCGCCCGCCAAUAGGGACCACAAUAAACCCUUUGUAAUACCUGUAAUCGUCUAACAAAACAAACAAAAAUUAAAACUUUCAACAACAGAUCUCUUAGUUCUG